rnacentral:rRNA from 1 species
CGGACGGGUGAGUAAUGUAUGGGGAUCUGCCUGAUGGCGGGGGGUAACUACUGGAAACGGUAGCUAAUACCGCAUAAUGUCUACGGACCAAAGCGGGGGACCUCCGGGCCUCGCGCCAUCAGAUGAACCCAUAUGGGAUUAGCUUGUAGGUAAGGUAACGGCUUACCUAGGCGACGAUCCCUAGCUGGUCUGAGAGGAUGAUCAGCCACACUGGGACUGAGACACGGUCCAG